CCUGGUGGUUAUGGCAAAGGUUCUAAACCCGAUCCCAUCCCGAACUCGGCCGUUAAAGCCUUUAGCGCCUAUGAUACUGUACCUUAAGGUGCGGAAAAGUCGGUCGCCGCCAGGC
rnacentral:rRNA from 1 species